GACGAACGCUGGCGGCGUGCUUAACACAUGCAAGUCGAGCGGUAAGGCCCUUUCGGGGUACGACGAGCGGCGAACGGGUAGGAGUAACAACGUGGGUGGACCUCGCCCUCCAGCUCUGGGAGUAAGACCGUCGGGAAACCGGGGUACCGUAAUAACUGGAUAUGACUCCAUGACGCAUGUUGGUGGGGUGGGAAAGACCUU
rnacentral:rRNA from 1 species